rnacentral:rRNA from 1 species
GAUGAACGCUGGCGGCGUGCCUAAUACAUGCAAGUCGAGCGAACAGACGAGGAGCUUGCUCCUCUGACGUUAGCGGCGGACGGGUGAGUAACACGUGGAUAACCUACCUAUAAGACUGGGAUAACUUCGGGAAACCGGAGCUAAUACCGGAUAAUAUAUUGAACCGCAUGGUUCAAUAGUGAAAGACGGUUUUGCUGUCACUUAUAGAUGGAUCCGCGCCGCAUUAGCUAGUUGGUAAGGUAACGGCUUACCAAGGCAACGAUGCGUAGCCGACCUGAGAGGGUGAUCGGCCACACUGGAACUGAGACACGGUCCAGACUCCUACGGGAGGCAGCAGUAGGGAAUCUUCCGCAAUGGGCGAAAGCUUGACGGAGCAACGCCGCGUGAGUGAUGAAGGUCUUCGGAUCGUAAAACUCUGUUAUUAGGGACGAACAAAUGUGUAAGAAACUAUGCACGUCUUGACGGUACCUAAUCAGAAAGCCCCGGCUAACUACGUG